GGACAAACAUUCUUGGACUUCUUCGAGUAAGACAUCAGAGUCUCCCAUAUCUAUUUGCCUUGAGAAAAUACAAAGAACCUUGCAUGCAGGACCUUUGACUGCGACAAUGAACAAGCUGUCACUUUUGUCAAAUCGAAAGGGACUUAAUUAUUAUGUGAGCGCCAGUGGGGCAGUUUGCUAUAUAACAUCCAAAUCCUUCUACAUUGAGAUUCACCUGGAGAAGGAUGGAAAAGUGGUGGAUGUCAGGUUGGCUCACCCUGGAAAAAAACCCCUGACCUGUGAAGAUCUUUUGCAGCUUCUAAG